CUUGGCUAGGUUGAUACUGGCGCACGGAUUUUCAAGGCGUGCUUUGGUUUAUUUUUAAUUGUCUUAUUGGUCAUUUUUUUAAGACAUUCAGUAGCAUAUAAAUAUACAUUUUUCCUUUUCUAUAAGAAAUUAAUUUUUACUUCUUCACGGACUGUUUUACAUGAAUUAGCUGCUCAUUAUGGAUGUCACAUUUGCUAACAUGGGCACAAUCAACAAUGAAACUACAAUUUCACACUAUUCGCAAUAUAGAAGAAAGCAUAAAGACUUCCAGACAGUGAUUGGUGUUGUGACUGCUGUAUUAAAUUUUGUAUGUGAUUGCGCUUUUUAUAGUCACCUUGGAUCAACAAAUAAACAUGAAGUGGUCGGAAAUACUUAUACUGCUGUUUUAGUAUUCACUAUCCUUGGAGGUUUUAUUCGGCUUUUUGAUAUUUUUAAUCACUGCUGCCAUUUUGAGGGUAGGGGGAACCUCUCAUUGGCUCACGAGUACAUCGACAUUUUUCAAAAUGCCUUUAGCUUGAUUGUUACAUAUUACAACAAUAAAGACCCGGUGGCUAAUGUUCAGUGGUGUAAAAUUGCUCUUGUUUUUAUGAACGUGUUUAGUUUUGUUGGGAUACUGAAAGGUCAACCUUUUGAAAGGAUGAAUUCAUUUGAACAAGAUUUAGCGUCUGCCCACACGUAUAAAUUUAUCAUCACUUUAAUAGUGAUUGGAUUGGCAAUUUAUAGGAGUAAUGUUAAUUAAAAUUACAACUUUGUGUUAUUAUAACUAUUGCAAAAAAUAUUUUGCUAUUCUGGCAAACCUGCAAAUACGUUUAAUUUUAAUUGUUACGACAUUUUUACUACACUAAAUGUAAGAACUACGAGCACUCAUCUUCUUUUUAAAAAUAGUAAUAGUUUUAGCGCAAUGUAUAUUUUUGUGUUGAUUUUCGUACUUUGUCUGUUUAUUUUCUAUUGUUUAAGGGGGGUAUGCUCAGCAGAAAAUCACUAAAAUCUUGAUUUAUCGCUAUAAUGGGUUUCUUGUCUUGUGACUGCUUUGUCUGAUGUUUUAUUACGAAAGUAAUAACUUAAAUGAAAAAAGUAUUUUUAUUAAAAUACAAUGUUUGAUUACAAUUAUGAUUAUGAUUGUGGUCGCGAUCGUGUUUGUGAUUAUAUAUGUAUGUAUAUAUAAAUACACACACACACACACAUAUAUAUAUAUA